UUCUAAUAGAAAUAAUUAUUAGUAAGACCUGCCCUAUGAUUUUAAAUGGCCGCAGAAUUUUUACUGUGCUAAGGUAGCAUAAUCAAUUGCCCUCUAAUUAAGGGCUAGAAUGAAAGGUUUAACAUGAAAAUAUCUUUUUAUACAAAUUUCCUUUAAAUUUAUCUUAGUGUAAAAAAACACUAAUUUUACAGAGGGACGACAAGACCCUAUCGAACUUAACUUUAAGUUUAGCUGGGGUGGCAAAAAACAAAUUCUUUUAUUUUUAUUAACCAAAAUCCUUUUUAUGAAUAAAACAAGUUACCGUAGGGAUAACAGCAUAAUUUUUUCUUCAAGAUCUUAUUUAAGAAAAAGAUUGUGACCUCGAUGUUGAAUAAAUAAUCUUUUAGGGGCAAGACCUUAAAAAGAAAGUCUGUUCGACUUUUAAUUUUUUACA
rnacentral:rRNA from 1 species